rnacentral:rRNA from 1 species
UACGAACCGUGCGAACGUUGUUCGGAAUCACUGGGCUUAAAGGGCGCGUAGGCGGGCGUUUAAGUCCGGGGUGAAAGCCCCCAGCUCAACUGGGGAAGUGCCUUGGAAACUGGACGUCUCGAGGGAGGUAGGGGCCUGUGGAACUUCGGGUGGAGCGGUGAAAUGCGUUGAUAUCCGAAGGAACGCCGGUGGCGAAAGCGACAGGCUGGAUCUCUUCUGACGCUGAGGCGCGAAAGCCAGGGUAGCGAACGGG